CAGCACCUCAAGUGGUCAGGAUGAUUAUUGGGCCUAAAGCAUCCGUAGCCGGCUUUGUAAGUUUUCGGUUAAAUCCAUGUGCUCAACGCAUGGGCUGCCGAAAAUACUGCAUGGCUAGGGAGUGGGAGAGGUAGACGGUACUCAGUAGGAAGGGGUAAAAUCCUUUGAUCUAUUGAUGACCACCUGUGGCGAAGGCGGUCUACCAGAACACGUUCGACGGUGAGGGAUGAAAGCUGGGAGCAAACCGGAUUAGAUACCCGGGUAGUCCAGCUGUAAACGAUGCAGACUCGAUGAUGCAUUGGCAU
rnacentral:rRNA from 1 species